GCUUAGACUGCUGAGUCAGAAACACAGAUGGGCAGCUCUGGUCGGUAGUAAUGAAGUAGCUCAGGCAGGAAGUGCUGAGAGAGAUGGGUGCACAGUGCAAGCAGUGGGUGGGAGCUGCUGCCGCCCUGAAGCCCUGAGCCUUGAGAAAGGCAGUCUGCUUUCUGGAAAAGAACAUGAGGCUGGAAGCCAAGAGGCUCGGGCUCGUCGCAGCCAUGUGAUUCCUUUGCUGCCUGGCUUGGUCUAGCUCAGUACUUGGCCCACAGUGUGAACUCAGUGCAAAUUGAUUUGACCGAAUGAACUGCUUCGAGGGAGUGACUUGUGAAAUCACUUCUUGCUAAGAUAGCCAGCAAAUACAGGAUCUUGGCUGGAGAUAGCGAAGAUGGCAUUGUCUUAGCUUUGUGCUUCAGAACCGCAUGGAGAACCUUGCAUGGCACAACCCAAAUUUUUAAGGUCAUAAGGGACUUCACAUGGGAGGCUUAAAAAACGUGAUUUAGGGCUUUGAAUAAAAUGUAUAUAUAACACAAA